rnacentral:tRNA from 1 species
GGAGCGAUGGCAGAGUGGUCGAUUGCGGCGGUCUUGAAAACCGUUGACCGAAAGGUCCGGGGGUUCGAAUCCCUCUCGCUCCGCCA